rnacentral:rRNA from 1 species
GACGAACGCUGGCGGCGUGCUUAACACAUGCAAGUCGAACGGAAAGGCCCUGCUUUUGUGGGGUGCUCGUGUGGCGAACGUGUGAGUAACACGUGAGUAACCUGCCCUUGACUUUGGGAUAACUUCAGGUAACUGGGGCUAAUACCGUAUAGGGUCUCCUGCUGCAUGGUGGGCGUUGGAUAGUUUCGGCGUUUGGGGAUGUACUCGCGGCUUAUCUGCUUGUUGGUGGGGUAGUUGCUUACCAAGGAUUUGACGGGUAGCCGGCCUGAGAGGGUGACCGGCGACAUGGGGACUGAGAUACGGCCCAGACGCGUACGGGAGGCAGCAGGGGGGAAUAUUGCACAAUGGGAGGAAGCCUGAUGAAGAAAAGCGGCGUGCGGGAUGACGGCCUUCGGGUUGUAAGCAGCAUUCGACUGAGACGAAGCGUGAGUGACGGUAAUGGGUAAAGAAGCACCGGCUAACUACGUG